rnacentral:tRNA from 1 species
UAAAAAAUAAGCUAAUAAAGCUAGUGAGUUCAUACCUCAUUUAUAAAGAUAAUCUUUUUUUUUAA